UAAGCCAUGCAUGUCUAAGUUCACACCCUCGUACGGUGAAACGGCGAAUGGCUCAUUAAAUCAGUCGAGGUUCCUUAGAUGAUCCAAAUCUACUUGGAUAACUGUGGUAAUUCUAGAGCUAAUACAUGCCAACCAGCUCCGACCCCUCGGGGAAAGAGCGCUUUUAUUAGUUCAAAACCAGUCGGGUUUCGGCCCGUCCUUUGGUGACUCUGGAUAACUUUGAGCCGAUCGCAUGGCCUCGUGCCGGCGACGCAUCUUUCAAAUGUCUGCCCUAUCAAAUGACGAUGGUACGUGAUCUGCCUACCAUGUUAGCAACGGG
rnacentral:rRNA from 1 species